CCUUCAGUGCUGCAGCUAACGCAUUAAGCAUUCCGCUGGGGAGUACGGCCACAAGGCUGAAACUCAAAGGAAUUGACGGGGGCCCGCACAGCGGUGGAGCAUGUGGUUUAAUUCGAAGCUACGCGAAGAACCUUACCAGGUCUUGACAUACUAUGCAAAUCUAAGAGAUUAGACGUUCCCUCCGGGGACAUGGAUACAGGUGGUGCAUGGUUGUCGUCAGCUCGUGUCGUGAGAUGUUGGGUUAAGUCCCGCAACGAGCGCAACCCUUAUUAUCAGUUGCCAGCAUUAAGUUGGGCACUCUGGUGAGACUGCCGGUGACAAACCGGAGGAAGGUGGGGAUGACGUCAAAUCAUCAUGCCCCUUAUGACCUGGGCUACACACGUGCUACAAUGGAUGGUACAACGAGUUGCGAACUCGCGAGAGUAAGCUAAUCUCUUAAAGCCAUUCUCAGUUCGGAUUGUAGGCUGCAACUCGCCUACAUGAAGUCGGAAUCGCUAGUAAUCGCGGAUCAGCAUGCCGCGGUGAAUACGUUCCCGGGCCUUGUACACACCGCCCGUCACACCAUGAGAGUUUGUAACACCCAAAGUCGGUGGGGUAACCUUUAGGAACCAGCCGCCUAAGGUGGGACAGAUGAUUAGGGUGAAGUCGUAACAAGGUAACCA
rnacentral:rRNA from 1 species